rnacentral:lncRNA from 1 species
UAAUUCCAACAACAAACUUCCACCUGCUGUCAAGAAUGAUUAUGGAUCGGAGGGGUGCAUGAGAAGGCCCAAACACCCCCUGGACCUCCUGGGACUUCUUGAAGCCAGAUUCUGCAAGUGCAAAUUAUCUGGGUUAGAGUCAACGACAGCGUGAGCUCUGGGAAAGAUUCAGGCCUCUUGCAGCGAUGAUGAAUAAAGCCUACCAAAAACUACUGCUUCCAGUAGGGCAAGAAGGCUCCUGUGAACAUUGGAAGUUGUAACUCUAAAUCUGCUAAAUAGUACCUAAGCGUCCUCUUCACAUGCACACAGGUAUGAAUUCGUAACUGGCCAGGGGCUCGAGUCUGUCCCAAUACUACCACAGUCAACAACCACUCCACUUCCCAGCCUCGGAAAGGUAAGCAACAGCUUCCAAGCUACCACUGUGAUUGCUACACGCAGAUUGCUAGGGAGAAGUGGUGGCCAAACAGCUGAUAUACG